CUUCUAGAAGGUCUUAUCAAAAGUUCCUAUUUUAAAAAUUAUCAUAAAAACUAAAGGGCCCUUCAAAUGACCAUAAAGCAGUACAAAUCACCAAUCCUAGCUAAGUAACCAGGUCACCUGCAAAAGCAGCACCUCGGAAACAAGAGAGCCUGCUGCAUUCACACUCAAAGCACCCAUCAUAUAAAAGUAUCCUAGUUAAAUAUAAAAAGCAAAGUUCAUUUCCCCAAAGCUCAAACAGCCUAUGCUGCUCCUGUUCUUUUGCCAAAUCUACCCAAGGCCUGAGGUGGAGGAAUGCUACUUUCCCCACAAAUGGUGGGUCCCACUCCUGGCCCCAGACCUGAAGGCUGCAGAGUUGGAAACCCAAGGUCCAAGGAGAGAAACAUGCUGAGAAGUUGGUGGUGGACACAAGGCUGCAGUAAGCACUGUUAGAGCCCAUCAGAUCUUCCUAAAUCCAGGGACUCAGGACUCGGGAGGGGAGCCUGCCUGCUCACCCCUGCUCCUUGGGAAACAGAAAUCUGGGACAUGUCUCUCCCAAUUAUCUCGUUCACUGAAAAACAAGAAAAGGGAGAGUGAUUAGUGACCUCUGAGUGAUUAGCCAUAUGAUGCCCAACGCUGAGCUCUACCUCAGACAUUUCCCUUCCCAUGGCUUUCUGUAAAGAUAAAGGCAGUGUCUGAAGCCUGCUCCUGAGCUGAGUGGCAUUAGAGAUGGAAACAUCGCUCCACAAACUACUCUGGACCUCUUUUUCUCUCUCAUUCAGUUCAUUUUGGGUUGGGAAGGGGGCUUACCCUCACUCUAAAGGUAUGUUUAAAUAAGUAUUCACCUUACUCUAACUUUUCUUUAAUUCAUAUCUCUUUGAGAAAGUUUUUAUUUUCUACAAUGCCACCUCCUAUGUAAAUGGAAUGAAAAUAAAUGCUUUGGUCAGAAUA
rnacentral:lncRNA from 1 species